UUGCAUUUGAUCAGCCAAGAUCUUGUUAAAAUGCAGAUUCUGACUUAGCAGUUCUAGGACCAAACCUGGGAAUCUGCAUUUCCACCAACUCCAAGGCGGUGGUGAUGCUGCGACCGCUGGUGUAGGGACAACACUUUGAGAAGCUAGACUCCAAGCUGGACAUCUGGAGCAAAACCGAAGGAGCCCCCGAUCUCAGAGGUGGACACAGAGGCCCAAGGAGGCCACGGAGCUCAUGAAAGGGCCAGCCACCGGCGUCCUGACAGCCCAAGCACAGGGGAAGAGCAUGGGUGGCUGACCCGGGAACCACCAUGUCUACCUCCACCAACCAGGAGAAGCCCCACUCAGCCUUGAAAGUACACUUGCCUUUGUCAUCUACAGAGGCCCGGACCCACCACCCCUUCCCAUUCAUUGUCUUCAGCCCAUCGGCCCACACAGUGAGCUGAAGUUCUGGGGUGCGCAGCACAGCACAGGGGCCUACGGAGGACACAGGGGGUCCAGUGUGGGAGCCCACAGCCUGCAAGAAGCUGCAUUUCUCAGAACAAACCCACGAACUGGCAGCAUGACCAGUAUCCCUAAGGAGGAGGAAGCCAAGAAAGAGAUGUCUUCAGUCCUCUACCUGUCACCUGCCAGAGAACCAGGGCACUUGGUGGGAGUUGGCCUCCCUUUCUCCUAACUGCCAUCAAUUGUGACAUCACUGUCAGCUGUGCCCGAUGUCUAACUCUUCACUUGUAUCAACGAGCUUAGCGACGGCCAUUGGGAGUUGGCUGGGUGCCCAGGGGGAGUGGUGUUUCCUCCCAAGAAUUCUCCAAACUUCUUAGAAGCAACCUUGGGAAACUGGCUGCAAGCAGUAGAUGGAGACCUCAUGAACCUCUCAGAAUUCCAGUGUGCCAACAGGCCCAGUCCAGUUCUCAUUAACAGAUGAAGAUGGAUGUGUAGGCAAUCAAGGAAAUCAUUGCCGUGAGUUUUUGCUGUCUUGAAUGCAUCUCUCCAAUAUGCAUUGUUCCCAUCCCCACCAGCCCCUCCGAUCCCCCACCCUUCUGGCUUGUUAUCAGCUCCAUGCUGUCUCUUUGCAUUAAAGUGACAAGAAGCAGCACAAAGCUGACAACAGGCGUCUGGAGCUGUAAUUUGCACUGACAUUCACUGGCGUUAUCCACUUAUUGCCUGGUAAGCCAAAUAGGAGAUUUGUCUGAUUUUGAUCCUAGGAGGAGAAAUGACAGCCCUGCUCUGCUCCUGCCAUUCAAAACAAAGCACCAGGCCGGUCCUUGGGCCUGAGUGCUGGCUGGCAAAGCCCCCCUCCGUGAUGAGGAGGCUCAUCUUCCUUUCCUCCGGCCGGAACUGCCUUUUAGGCCUGAUGUCUGGCAAAUACUGGACAAGGGGCUGGAGUGGGCGGUGGGAGGUGCCAGGCCAACCUCUCAGCUGGUGACAGCCCUGACCACGGUUGCCAGGAGGCUUCAGAGGACCCUCUGGGGGAAUGAAGUGCCCCCAGGUAGUCAGGCCCCAGCUGAAAGUACCUCAGCAGCCCUCCUUCUGCCUCCCCAGCCCCUCCUUGUAGACUCUUCUGGCUGGAAGAGAAGCGAGGCUGAAUGAGAGGCUCUCGAGAAGCAGCGCCAAGGAGUUAGCCGGUGGGCACAGCCCGCUAUGUAAUUUAUAAGACCCCAGACAAAAUGAAAGUGUGGGGCCCCUUGUUCAAAAAAAGCAGGAAAGAUGUCCUUAAAGGUACUAAAAUAUAAGGCCUUUAUCUUUCUUUUGUGGUCUCCAAUUUGUCAUAGUGUUUUUUUACUUGCUAUGUAAGGCUCUUCCAAAUAAAAAUAAGUAAAUAAAUAUUAUUUAUUAGCAUGAUUUUUACCUUUAACUUCAGAUUAUACAAUGACAGUUUUUACAUGCACAUAGAAGAGCCUUUAACUCAGAUGUGGAAUCACCACAGGGAUGUCAUUCAUAUUUCCUAACUGGUACAUGCAGGUGUAGGUCAUUGCUACCAGAAAAAUGAAAAUG